UACCAUCACCUCGGGCAGUAAGGUUUCAACAUGUGAAUGUUGAGGGGACACAGAUGUUCAACCGGUAAAGAAAGGAGCCAGCUCCCUUAACAGCCUUGCCCUGAGCUGUACGAGGAGAUACACAGAGAAACCAAACAUGCAGUUGCCUGCAUGGUCCUUACUGGUGUGUUUCAUGGUGUGUUUCCCCAAGGAUUCAGUUGCCUGGACCCAGAGCAGUGACUGACUCUGCUGAAUUAGAAAAGUGGAAAAACAUCUUUUUCCUGCCCAACAGCACCUUUCACCCUCUUUGCCAGCUUUAAGACUUCAAGACCACCUCCAAAAACUCCUGAAGGUGGUAUACAGAUUCCACUGUGUUUGGAAGAGGCAGGAUGGAGCACUAGAGAUAAAAAGAGAAAGGGAGAGACAGGAGAAAAGGAAGAAUGACCACUAUCCUGCAUAGCUGCCCAGCAUCUGCUAAGAAAAUAAAAAUGGCUAUAUCUGCAGCCAGAGGCUUGU
rnacentral:lncRNA from 10 species